rnacentral:rRNA from 1 species
GUGGGGAAUCUUCCGCAAUGGACGAAAGUCUGACGGAGCAACGCCGCGUGAGUGAAGAAGGUUUUCGGAUCGUAAAGCUCUUUCGUUAGGGACGAACGUGCUCUUUGUGAAUAAUGAGGAGUAAUGACGGUACCUAAAUAAGAAGCCACGGCUAACUACGUGCCAGCAGCCGCGGUAAUACGUAGGUGGCAAGCGUUGUCCGGAAUUAUUGGGCGUAAAGCGCGCGCAGGCGGGAUAUCAAGUCUGUCUUAAAAGUGCGAGGCUCAACCUCGUGAGGGGACAGAAACUGGUAUUCUUGAGUGUCGGAGAGGAAAGUGGAAUUCCAAGUGUAGCGGUGAUAUGCGUAGAGAUUUGGAAGAACACCAGUGGCGAAGGCGACUUUCUGGACGAUGUCUGACGCUGAGGCGCGAAAGCUAGGGGAGCGAACGGGAUUAGAAACCCUAGUAGUCC